CUCUAAUACAAGUCCUAGAUUAUAUGUUUUAAGAAAUAUAUACAAUGAGGUAUUAGUAUUAAAGAGAUUUGUUCCUUCCAUAAAAGGUAAAAAAGAAUCAGUAAAAUAUGUAUUAGUAAAUAUAGUUGAAUAUAUGUAUU
rnacentral:ncRNA from 1 species